AACUGUGACCGGGGCUGCGUUUAAUUUGUUGUCAACAAUUUUGAGGCGGUCACAACGACAAAUUUGAGAUGCCAGCUGCCAGUUACAAGCUGCCAGCUGCCAACAGAUUCCACAUCAUUUUUUGCUUUCAAUUUUUUGUUCAACUUAUUGGAAAUUUAAAGCUGCUCAGUGGACUCGCUAGCAUACGCAGAAUUAUGAAUUAUUUCGCACUGGGGGAUAACAAAACCAAAAUUGCAAAAUUCAAUGCUCUUUGUGGGAGUCAUAAACAAAUCAACGGGAAAACUAAACCGCACUUUGUGGGACUUUCUGGUUAAACUUUGUGAUUGCAUUUUAAUUGAAAUUUUGUUGAAAACGCAGUAAAGUAUGCUACAAACAUUUGAAGUUGUCAAGUGUGCGCACUUUGAUUCAAUAAAAUCAAAAUUCCCAGCCGACAGAUAGUCAUAAAUUUCGGACUAAACCGAAAACCAAGAAUGGAUGUUACAAGGCUGGGAAUUGACCUCGAGUCAUUGACAACAACAACAGCAUGAAAUCGAUGAACCUAAAAACUAUCUGCGAGCUGUAUGAGUGGGUUUUAUAUUUGCCAACUUCUACGAACUUCAAUUAAAUUGAGGUUCAGUGCUGAAGUGCUGUGUAAAUUUUUAAUUGCCUGUCCAUUUGAAGCACUUGUGUUCAAAGCCUUUGUGUUAGCCGCUCGUUAGCAACAGACAAAAGCAUCAAAAGAGGGGAAAAAUAACCAACCAGAAGGAUGUGGGUUUAAAAUCUGGACAUGGAGUAUCUCAAAGCUCAACAACUGGAAUAUGAUAUAAAACUAUCUGGCUUGCCACUCAUAGUUUUAUUUUAUAUUUUCACUCUCUCCCACUCACUUUCUCUCUCUCUCUCUCUUUGGGUUUUCCUCUGGCAGACGACAAUGGAAGGCAAUAUGAGUGAAUGUUUGUUGCUGUGGAUAAUAAACUGAAACUGUCUGUGCAUAAUGCGCAGCACAGACUAAAAAUCUACUCUAAAAACAUAAAGUCCCAUGGUGGCAUUCAACUUGUUUAAGCCUUAAAUAGGACUAGCAAAUUUAUGACUUUUUUGCAGAAUUUGAUUGAUCAGUUACCAAGUGACAAGCGAGUAUGCGAAAAAGCUAUUUUCAGCAUGACAUUCCAUCGAUAAGCACGCUAAACAAUUUAUAUUUAUACUGUACAUUCAUGCGUAUGCUUAAUCUUGCGAGACGUAUACUUAAUCUCUCUGAGAGUUCAAAAUGGAAAAAUCUUGUAUGCUAAACUGUGUGCUCUUUACUUUUUUGCUCUUCAUAGGAGUCAAAUUACGUUUUGCAGAACGUGCUUGUUGAUUGUAGCCGCAAACUAUUAAAACUACGAAAAGUUGCAGAUAAUUUUAUUUAGUUUGUUGCGGAAUUACCGAGCAAUUAAGCUGUGCUUCAAAUUCAAAAUGCCGCAUUUAUAAACAGUUUAAAAUGCGUUCACUUUAUUUAACUUGUGCAAGGACUUCAGUUCCAAACUAAACCAAAACUACAGUUUAACAGUUUACUAGUUGACGUUUUACUUAUUUUUGGGCAAAUUAAAAAGUAUCUUAGAAAAGCAUAUCCAAUUCACUCAGACGAAAAUAAACUGCUCGAAUGCACUUCGUGGCCAAGAAAGCUUAUUCGCUUGGCAAAGUGCAAAUUGAAAUGGCUUAGAGUGAUGCAAAAUGGUAAAAAUCCCGUCCAUCAGAAGCAUACACAAAGCCACAUCUUGGCACAGAAGCCACGAUGAAGGAAGAAGCUGCUGUCGCACAUAUAGCAAGCAGUUGUUAGGUGGAUGGUAAGGCAGGUUCUAAGACAGUAAAAACGGCAAAGAAAAAACAUUGUUCAUGGUUGAGUUUUAGCCUGGCUUUGAAUGCAGAUGAGUUGACAAGGCAAAAAGUUCAAGAGAGACAAAAGAAAGAGAGAAAGAGAGAGAGAACUCGUUUAGCUUUCGGUGCAUACUCACCGGAAUGGAUGGCAGAUGGCAAUAUAACGCUCCACGGUAAAAGCUGUAAUUGUGAGCACAGUGGCAUUGGCAGCCAUCUCGGACAGGACGCUCUCCAGUAUGCAUAUGCCGUCCGUGAAGGGAUAUGAGUUGGGGCACCACAAAUUGUACAGUUCCUGUGGUAUGCCUAAUGAUGAAACCGGAAACAGCCGUAAGAGCUGCUGUAUUAAGUAUACGCAGCGUAAGCCGUUGGGGGAUUUAUGGCUUACCUGAGACGAGCAAAAUCAAAUCAGAGACAGCUAAAUUGAACAGAUAGAAAUUGGUAGCCGUGUGCAUAAAGUUAUUGCGCGAUAUGACAAUGCAGGUGAUUAGAUUGCCCAAAACGCCGGCGACGAAAAUGAUGGCAUAGCAGACGGUCAGCACAAUGAGCAGCGUGGGCGAUUCAUCGGCGAUGGAGUCGGUCGUUAAUGUUGUCGCACUGCCAUUUGUGCUGUUGCCAAGCAGAUUUGUUAGAUUCUCAGUCGUUAUGUUCAGCAGUUGAGCGAAAUGUGUGAGAAAUUUGUCAUUGUGCAGCAGCAACAGCUCCGGGCUUGAGCUGACGCUAGGAAAGGGAAAGGAUGUGGGAGUGGAAAUGGGACUGGGAUUGGGAUUGGGAUCGACACCGAGGCUUAGACCAACACCGAGACUUGUGCUGACACUUGGCCCCGCAUUUGGCAACGUAUGAGCCAUGAAUGAUUGAUUGAACCCAUCAUCAUCGUUGUCGGCAGCAGAGGCCGCAACACCAGCAACCAAAAGAGCAACAACACAAGCAGCAGCUACAACGUUUUGUAGCAUUCUGUCAGAUGUCAAUUAAUUGUGGGUGUGGUGUUGACGCCCCAAAUAUUUGGCUCUUAUCAAUGUUAUUAAUAUAGUCGACGUCCCUUUUUGCCCUUCGUUGCUGGUCGUUGUCGUUGUCGAAGUCGUUUUCGUUGUAAUUGUGGCUGUGGUUUUUGUUGUGCACAUGGCUGAUAAGCGGCCCAGACGACAGCCUCGAAAUUGUGCAUUCGCCUGUAAAGCAAACAACAUUAAAAGUCAUUAGGCUCAAGUGACUACCAGGAAUUAUGCCCAGCUGUUGACUCUUAACAAUGCCCAAAAAAAGAAAACUGUUGCGUAAUUGAAGGCAACAAUUCUCCAGUUCAUUGCGUAGUCGAAUCAUAAUUUCACUCUCUAUAAAUAGACAAACAUCUUGAAUUGAAUUCUGGAUUAAGUUCCUCUUCCUCCUCCUGUUUCUUCUUCUGCAAUUGGUUGAUUGCUGACCAAAAACUUUUCCAUAUCUUUUAUGAUGAUUGUCGGUGUGGAGAGACAACUUUUGGUGGCAAGUGCGUCUGAAGUGAGUCAUUUAAGAUAAGAUGCGAUUGGGUUCUUUUUUGGGUGGCAUUUAAGCCAUGGCUCAAAUGCUGCGACACAUAUGGAAUUUUAAAUAACUUUGAUAAAUGACGUUGGGAGACCGUAAUUUACUCAUUAUUUCGUUGGCACGUUUACAAUAUGCAUACAUAAAUCUCUUAGGGUUUGGCAGACACCCACAAGAAACACCAAGGCUAAAGCCAAGGUCUGAGUGCAGAGAAGUAAUUUGACUUGACUCCUGGCCACAUUCACAUUUCACAUUUCACAUGCAUAAAACAGAAUGUAUUCGGCAUUUAUCAUAUUCUCAGCUUUUAGCCACCUGUCCAUUUCACUCGUUAAUUAAUGGCUUGGCAGCACUAUUAAGAUUGCCAAAAUAUUAAUAAUUAAAUGCACCAUAAACUAAAUGAUUGUUGGGAAUAAUUAACUGCUGGGGUCGCCAGCCAUAAAUGUUCCACACUUUAAAUCAUUCGAAAACGUUUUCCUAAUUUAUCGCUCUCGUGAUUUUCUUUAAGAUUUCCGGAUACCUUUUGACAGCAGUCUUAAGGGACGGAGCACCAUUGGUCUAUCAGUGUCCCUUUUUCACUGGGACUUUGCGUUAUUGCUGAUGGUAAUUGGAGAUAUAAUCGAAUUGCCAAUUCAGGUGUGAAAGUUAACUAGCGCAUAGCGAAAACCGCAUGAGAGACAAGGCAACCUAACUAAAUGUAUCUCUGGCUUUUGUUCAGUUCUUUAACUUUUAACAUUUCCAUAAAAGAAUUUAAGAACAGGUAAGGUAGAAGCUGCUGUAUAAUUGAAUUUAGCAAACGUCGAACAUCACGUACAAUUUAAAAAAAAAAAAGGGGAUUCAAAGAGUCAAACAGAAUAUUCCGCUUACCGAAUU